AUCGUUUCUCGGCCUUUUGGCUAAGAUCAAGUGUAGUAUCUGUUCUUAUCAGUUUAAAAAUGUGUGACCCAUAUGCAUAUUUUAUGUAUACUUUAAAGGUAAAAUUUGUCAAACAAUAAAACAUUAGCUCUAUCCACUGAGCCAAACCAGUUAGGGCUAAAUGUAAAUAUUU
rnacentral:snRNA from 1 species